rnacentral:lncRNA from 1 species
UUUUUUUUUUUUUUUUUAUGAAAUCAUCUUCAUUAAAUUUGAUCCGGCAAACUUUAAUGCACUGAAUCGAGAUACGACUGCCUAAAAACUUUUCAUAUUAUUUCAAGGGUGACUGUGUACCAAUUCUUGCAGUAUUUCUUUUUUUCUUUUUUUAUGAUCGUAUCAAGUAGUCCAUAUAUUUUCAUUACCAUACAAACAUCUUAUUAUAUGAGGAGUGGAUAUAGCAUAGUCAAUGUACUAAUUACGGAAAAAAUGUUCAUUGAUUAAAAGCAGAAAGUAAACUGCCUACUAUCUUUCUAGGUGUUUAUCAUUAUAAGCAAUUGAUUAAUAAGAAGGGAAAUCAAAGGUUGAUUUUGUUUUUAUUCCUCUUUUUGUGUUUAAUACAGGGAGAAAAUCUAAGGAAUUUAAGCUUGUUGAUCCCCUUAAAAUGUGUAAGAUCGUGACCAAAGACUAAAGAACCAAAGGUAGGUGAACUCCCUUCUCAGUGCUUGUCUUUCAACAUGUUUUUGACUUGGGACAUAAAAUCAGAAAAUUUUGCAUCUCCUCACAUUAUUUACAACACAUAGUAUGCAUAUUAAAUUCCGCCCCAUGCCUUGCCCAAUCAAAAUAGCAAUCAUAAACUAAUGUAUGGUUGUCAUUUUCUACUGUGGUCCAACAGUGUAUCAAUACUUAAUCUCACAUGGGAUUGUGUAACUUCUACUCGUAAUGCCAUGAAACAUCACAUGGAAUACAGAGAGGAAACCAUAGCUCGAUGUUGAAUUAGAUAAACAUAUAUAUUAGGUGUUCUUCAAAUAGGACGAAUUUUUGCACUAAAAAAAGAUGUUGACACUUGUUCCUAGAAAAUAUUAAUACAUAAAUUUUGAAUUUUACAAUUUGUCUUAGAGCAUCAUUGACACUUCCUCACAUUCCAUACCAAUUUCCAAGAUAACAAGAGAAUACCAAAUAUAAAGAUAGGAAAGCAAAAGAAAUUCAAGUAGACUAUCAUAAAACAAACACUUAUCUAUUGAUGUUUUGCCAAUUCUUGAUGCCCUUGACCUUGAGACCAUGAAUUUUGUAGCUUGAUCAACGACGAUUUAACAAACUAUAAGGUCUUGAUCUUGGAAGAUAAACAAUGGAUUCUGAGACUGCACAAGUCCUUUUGCAAGAAGCAUACAUGUUGAUGAAUCCAAAUCGAUCACUUAAACUUGUCUUUGAUGAAACUUUUGAGCCCUUCCACAAAUUACCAAUAACAUUUCCAUCAUGGUGACGAUGGUGAUCAUCCUUGGAACAUUCCACUAAUGCUGCAAAGAAUGGAUCCAUCCUAAAACUUUCACUGGGGUUGUAGAACUUCUUGGGAGAAAUGAUGAUGUCUUCUCUAUUAUGAUGCUUCCUGAAGGAAUUUGAGCUGAAACUUCCAGCUGGUGGCAAUGGGAGAAGGCCUAAAGCAGAUAAACCUUCCUUCUUGGAAAUUUCAUUCUUGGGAAUUCCUGGGAUUUGCUCCCAAGAAAAUGGGACUCCUGAGAAUCUUGCUUGAGGGGUUCUGGGAGGACUGAAUGGGGAAUUAUCAUCAGGGAAAGUUAAUGAUCCAGCAGAGGAUGAAUUGGAUGAAAAUGAUGGUGAUGAAGAUACGGAAGAAUUAGUCCUGCGAGAAGAAGGAAGGAACAAAAGAGUUGAAUAUGGGGUGGUAUGAGCAUCAGUAGGUUCAAUUUGGGCAUGGCUAGCUCCACUAUAUGCUGCUUCAGUAGAAGCCAUUGCUUUUCUGAGCAAGAAGAAAAGUGGUUAAGAAGAGCUUGUAUUAGUCUCUUUUUAGUUACUUCUUGUGGUUUAUAUAGAGAGAAUUUGUGUUUCUUUUGAAUUAAUUUGUCAUUUAUUGAUUAUUAUUGCCACUUUGGUAAAUAAAAAUGUGGGACAACAAAAUUGAAAGCAGAAAGAUAUUGUAAUUUACUAAUCAAAAGAGGACCCCAUGACAUUAUGACAAGGAUGGAGAAAGAAGGGGAAAAAAGAGGACGGAGAAAGAGGGGGGGACUUAGUGGGAAAUAAAAAGUACUGGUUGGGCUGGGGUAUUAUGCAAUGGAUAUUUUGGCAUACUAAGUUACAUACUAUGUAAGACACUAAGAGUCACGAGCUAGGGUUGAUUGAAGUGAAUAAAGCUAUUACUUCCAAAGUAAGUAUUAUUUGUGCCAAAAUAGCACAUCAUCCCAAAAACAAGCAGAUAUAGUUAACUGAAGAUGAAAAUUAAGACAACAGUUUCUUUGUAAUCCUCAUGUUGAACAUACUUGUUACUGACUUAAUUGAGAUUUGGCAAAAAUAAGACGAACUCAUAAGAUUUCUCUGGGCAAAGAUAAGUGUUUAAGUAUCACACAAUUUAGAAUAAGUUGCUAAACAAUUUACCAUAAUUUGGGAAAUCUCAAUUUGAUCCACCAAAUUUAAAGUGAAGCAUCUUGAUUACUAAUGCAUAUGUUUAGGGGGCACUAAGUCGGUUCUCAAUCUUCGUUGCACUCAUCUUAUUACUAGAAAUUAGACAGCCAACUCCAAUGGAUAAUUUCAUCGGUAAAAAAAAAUCACAAGAUUAUAAGAAAUUAAAUUAGGUCCCUAAUUGUUUUAACCUAGAAAAAUUAACAAAUUAAUAUGGGGUCAAGACAAACUCUAGGUAUGCCGAGUAAGGGAGGAAAUUGUCGUUACCCUUCAAAUGUGAGGGACUAAUUCCACAUCUGUAAGAAUGAAAAGGGUUGCUUUGGCAAUUCAUCCCUCAAUUAGUAGCCUAGCUAUUGAAGAAAAACUAAAUUUGGGGGAGUAGUUGUGAUGUAUCACAUGAAGGUGAUGGGAUAUGGUAUACCAUACAUUUGUGUCAUAUCUUUAUUUGGUUAGAUAGCUAAUCCUGUAUUGUUUAUGUUUAGGCAACAUAACCAUAUCUUUACUUACCACUCCCAAUGAAAUAAGUUGAAGAGUAUCCAGUAUUAAAAUGUUCAUGUGUUUCGUUAAGUGUGCGGAUCGGAGUCCAAAGUCAGGCUAGUGCAUCACGUUUUAAAGCUUUUUUAAUUUGCUGUGAAAAGUACUUGUGUGUAGAGCUACCAAAUUUUGUGUAUCAUAUGCAUUUCUGCCGUAACAAGAUUAAUGAUAGCUACUUAUUAAUAUUCUUCUGCAAUAAAGCUAGAGACCUAAUAGGAAGUAAAAGAUGUCAUUGUGUCAGCAGUACCACGGCUGUAGUACCAAAAUCAGAAUAGUUUGUCCUUUCAAUCGCUAGAACAGAAAUGGGAUAAAAUUUCUUCCAAUUGCCUAUGUGUUUAAUUUAGUUAACCGAGGGUCUCAAGAAUCUUAAGCACAAUAAUGAGUUCUUCUAGUUAUUAUAUGUUAGUUUUUUUUUUUUUAGGGGUGCCCUACAGGGAGUGGACCCCAUAGACUAUUCUCCCAUCCUCCGCAAUUUGCUGGUAGCAAGGUUCGAAUCAGGAACCUAAGCCCCAUGUUCAGCAACCCCAGCCACUAGACCAAGCGCCGAAGGGCAUUAUAUGUUAGUUUUCAUGUCACUGUUUAUGUGUUAGUUUCUAAUUUUACUGGGUUAUAAUAUAUGUGUAUUAUUCCUGUUAUUGUGAGUUUUUUUUUUUUUUUGUGAUCUUAUCAAAACAAAAAAAAAGGGAGUAUCAAGAUUUAUGAGUUCUCAUUGACGAGACAAUAUAGAUGUUAUGCAGUAGAUAUAGACACUAACACAGCAAUUUAGUGAAAAAUUUUGAAAGACGAGAGCAAUAAUAGCUCGUUCAAGUUGAAGUGAUUCAAUCAUUCUUACAAUCUCACACAAGAGUAGUGAAAAGACAUGAACAAAAAUGAUUGUAACUAAUAAUUACAUUCCUAAUUGAUAAAAGAUUAACUAAGGCAUGAUUUAAUAAUGAAAAUCAUUUUCUCAAUAUUAGGUAGUCUGUAAAAGUAUAGCAAACACUUCUUAUUUAAUUUGGGGUCUUGAAAUAUUAAUACUAUAAAGUAUUACGGAGACAACUUGGAAUUCAUCAAUUGUCUUGCACCUUGUGGAGGAGAAAUUCAGCCUAAAAGAGAAUGAAUCUAAUUCAUAACUUGAAACCAAUUAUUCAUCACAAGUUUAACUUCCUCAAAUUUUACACCAACAUAAUUGUGUAUGCAUCUGCUAGGAUCCAAUCACGUUAUCAAAAUUGCUUCAGCUUUCAAUUAUAUUACACCAUUUUCAAAAGGGAAGAUCCCAAUUAUGAAUUACUUGCAAUUGCAUCUUACAAUUGUUUUUCUCCAUGUCUAUGUAUCAGUGGUCCAUUAACUUCAUAUGCUUCCAAAAAAUAACUGUACCAGUUUGAAAUAACACCAAGCCUAUUGGCUGAUCGAACUUCAAAAUUGUAGCUGCACCUACCUAAUUCAAUCAUCAAUGGCCGGUUCCUAGCUCCUACCAUUACCAUUUGCCGUCAAAACUAACAUCGAAAUGACAUCACAAUCGUGGUUACUUUGUGCUUUUAAUAAGAAUGACAUUUCUUUCUAAUAUUCAUUAUUUUAUCUAGUUGUCUGCCUUAGCAAUUUAAAUUUCAGAUUAGAAGAAAGAUUCGUUCAAUUUUUUAUAACCAAUGCAUAUAUAAUUUUUAAUUUUUCAUAUAAAGUAAUUCAUCAAAUCUUGAUUAAGGGCGUAGGUUUAAGAUAGUAGAUAUUGGCGCAGUUUAAAUAAAGGAAGUGGGAAAUGGGACAUGAUACUAAAGGAUAAGAAGCUCCAUCCGUACACUUCUCAUAAUUUGAGGCUUUGAUUCUCUCGUAAUUAUUGACACGAUAAGCUCAGAAUUGAGUUAAUUAAUAUGUCAAUUAUUCGACCUAACCGAUGGAAUCACUUGUAAAUUAAUUAGUAAUCUUAUGUUUUGUUUUGAUACAAUAAUUGUAAAUAAACAUACUAUUGUUAACUUUUGAUAAAAGAAACAGUAAACCAUGAAAUGUACAUAUCAAUAUGCCAAAAAGAUAAAAAUAAAUUUGCUCAUUUUGAUUAAAAAGGAUUGAAGCUCAAUGAGCUUAUAGGAGGAUGAAACUUGAAAGAAUUGUUCUGGAAUUACGUCCUUCAAUGUAAUUUAUUUGUACUUUCCCCUUUCAUCAUGCAACAAGUUAAUUGAAAAAAGAAGAAAAACAUAUCGAUUCAGAUUGCAGAUUAUUUUUUGACAUGUUGACUUUUGUGGCCGGAAAAUGAUUUUGCUUAUAUUUGUGGAGCGGAUUUGAGAUGAUUUUUUACAAACUAUGUUGUCUUUUCUGUCAGCAAAGAAGCCGAUUUUACCUCUUUUUUAUUUUAGUGUUUUAUUUUUUGGUUGCCUCCUUCUGGUUCUGCUUUCUUGUUUUUCAACUUUUUUACAGUAAGUAAAUAAUCCUAACAUACUAAAACUUAAUUCUGACUAAUGCAUCUCCUUCUUUCCCAACCACCUAAAAAAGUUUUCAAAAGAAAUUUUCUAAUGUGACCAGUUGACACAUUAGUACACAAUAUUUAUACCUUGGUGUAUUACUUAUAUGCAUAUGUUUAUAUAUAUUGAUUGCCCCUUUCAUUUGGACAAUUUCCUAAUUUAGGUUCAGUAAUUUAAAAAGGAUUUUUUAAUAGGUACCAACUAGACACCCAUUAACACGCCAACGGAUCUUGUGUCCCAUACCCUAUACCAUUCUCUGUCUCACUUUUUAUUAUAUUGUUAUUUCUCCUAUUUAAAUAUCAUGUUUUAGUCCUUUUUUGUUUCUUUAAGAUCCAAUAACUAUUAACUGAGUAAUACAAAAAAUUUAACAAACUCAAAAAAUCAAAAUUCAUAAAAAAUGAGAUUUUUUAUGAAUUUUCUGCUGUAUUUUUUAAUUUUCUAUUAUAUCAAUUGAUUUUUUGAAGCUGUUGUAUUUAUUUUUUAUUCAAUUAAUAGUUAUUAAAUUAAUUAGUUUUUUUUAAAUACUAACACCUCAAACCGCUCUUAACGAGUGUCUCACAAGCACCUGUUAGUAGGGCUGCAAACGAGCCGAGUCGAGUCGAGUUUUGGCCUAAUCGAGUCGAGUCUCGACAUAAUUUCAUUGAACUCGAACUCGAGCUCGACGAGCUCACAAUUUCAAGCUCGAGCUCGACUCGACUUGAUUAGAGCCGAGCUCGAGCUCGAAAAAAACAAAAAAUAAUUAUUUUAUUUUUUAUAAAAUAAAUAAAAUAAAUAUUUUUUUUAAUAAAUAAUAAAAUAUUAAGGAUAUAUAUGUAAUUUUACUAUUAAAAUUUAAAAAAAUAAAAAAUAUAUAUAUACUUAAAAUAAAAAAAUAAUAUAUAUAUAUACUUAAAAUAAUAUAUAUAUAUAUAUAUAUAUAUAUAUACUCGAGCUCACGAGCCGACUCACGAGCCGACUCGCGAGUUAACGAGCUUAAUAUUUUGAACUCGAGUUCGAGCUCGAUUUCGACUCGAGCCGCUCGCGAGCGGCUCGAUUCGUUUGCAGCCCUACCUGUUAGUCAAACCAAUUUAAAAACUAUUCUUGCAACUGUUCUUCAUAAGUGGUUAUAGGUCACAAGACACUCGGACUCGGUAGACCAAUGUUUCCAAAAACUCCAAAUAACUGCUAACCAAUCUUACAUUCUUACCAAAUUAAAUCCCUUUUCCAAUUCAGCAUUUCAACCUUCAAUCAAAAGCUUUCAUUUUUCAUACAUGAGUUUCUAGAUCAAACCACUUACCAAUCUUACCCAAAAGCUCCAAAUAACUGCUAACCAAUCUUACCAAAUUAAAUCCCUCUUCCAAUUCAGCAUUUCAACCUUCAAUCAAAAGCUUCAUUUUUCAUACAUGAAUUUCUAGAUCAAACCACUCUUUGUCGAAUUUCCUUUCCUUCACUUGUGUAAAUCUAAACCACUAAAGCAAUCAUGAGCCUUUUUUUUUUUUUUGAAGCUUAUGAAAGUUUGAAUUCCAAUGGUUUUUCUUCAAUUUCCUAUAUCAUUUAUUUCUUUGUGGGUUACAAUCGGUUCUCUUAGAUUUUCAAUCAGUUUAAUUUCUUUGAUUUCAGCCCAUUCAAUUAAUUUUCAUUCUAUAAAAUCUAGACUUUUCUGGAAAUUCUGCCAGCGGAUGCGUAGGCAUCUGUUUGAGGCGGUAGUAGUUCAGUUCCCUCCGAAUUCCCCUUGAACCUUUAUAAGUCCUCCUCCCCCUAGUAUAGAGUAGGAGUAGGUUUAUAGUAGAUUCUAUCGUGUCCGGGAAAAAAAAUCAGUUAUAUUAAUUUGAUCUUCAUUAUGGCAUGCUCAGCAUAGCAAAAUCGGUUUAGUUCUUCAGUAGUAAAACUCAGUACGCACACCAACCUCCACUGAAAUUAUCUAAAAUAUUAUCUCAAAGGUGAUAUCUUUGGAAUUGCAUCAUUCCUCUCGGGAAUUUUCAUAAUGGCAUCCAUUCCAAUGAUACUAAUCAUAUGAAAAUUGGCAUUUAAAUGCAUACAUUCAUAUUUAUCCGAUUCAAUUUUUUUUUUCCAAAAAGCUACCACCUUAAGCGUCUUAACCAACACAUUGGGCAUUGCCGCAUUGCUAGCCAGAAUCUUUAUUUUAUUAAGAAUUUCAAAACCCUUUCCUUUCUAAAACAUAAUAUAGGAAAAUUAGUAUUUGACCUCCGAUUGAUAAAGAUCAUACAACUAGCUAGUCUACAAGUCUUUGCAGAGAAGGAUUUGCAUCUGAACAAUUCACUAUAUGUUGUUAGGUGUGAUGCAUAAUACUGCAUUUUCCUCAAGAGGGAAAACACAAUCUGUCAUGUGAUACUAUUCCAACUUCCCAGUAUUUGCUAGGGACCCAUGAAAAUAAACUAUCAAGUGAUGUUAUCAUCAAUGUUCUAAAAUUAAAAAGACAAAUUGUGGGCGCAACGAAACUGCUUCAUAUAAUAGCUCAUUCCAUUGACACAUUUAGAAUUUUGAUGGACUUCACAUUUGGCUAACAUAUGGUAUGAAUUAAUCUGAAUAAAUGAGGUAGGAAUUAAUCCCAACUGCCUUUUAGUACCGAAGUAAAUGUUUUGUCAUAGUGUACGAGGCACUGAGUGCUACAUCAAGGCCCAAGGGUGAAGAAGGCCACAUUGGUUAACGUUGAUGGUAAUGCAUGUUAUGAUGGAUUCCAUCAAAACUAGAGUAAGAUGAAAACUAAAAUCUACCAAAUAUUGUCCCCAGAAAAAUGUUGUGAAUCAUGUAUGCAUAAAUAUUCAUUCAUGAAGAAAUACUCAUCUUCUCUUUUGAUUAACUAUGGUAGCCUUCCUCCCCUCCCCCCUGCCCCCCAACCCCCCUCUCUCUUUCUUUUAAUUUUAGUGCAUCAUUUUGCGCAUAUAAAGUUGAGUACGUGUUUUUUUUUUAAUUUUCCCACCCCUCCUCACAAUCUUUCUACCUCCAACUGCCAGGCAAGAUUUUAAAUCCUGACACUGACAACAGAGAAGACUCUAAAAGUUUUCCUUGACCACUGAGUCGAACCCAAUCGUUUUUCAUUGGUAGAAAUAAUAUCCAAAUCUUAAUAAUGAAGUCUUAGGAUGCGUUUGAUAAAAUUGAAAUUUGAAAAUUAAAAUUUGAAAUCUAAAAUUUGAAUUUAUUAAGUUACUAAAUUGUUAAGUACUAAAUCCAAUGCAUUUGAGUAUAUAUUUUAUUAAUUGAUAAAUGAAUAGUUUAUCACUUAUUGUCUGGAGCAAAUUUUACAUAAAAAAUUCAGUGUUACUUAACUAAUUCAAAUGUUUUAUUUUUUUAUUCUCAAAUACGUCUGAAUAUAUUAAGAUUUGAAUUCAUUAAAUUUAAAUGUUGAACUGGAUCAUUUUGCAAGCGUGUGUUUUUCAAUACCUGAGUUUUGGGAGAGAAAUGAGUUGAAUGGUAUAGGGAGAAUAUAAAUGAGAGGUCCCGGAUGCGAGACCUCCCACUUACACUUGAAAAAAAUAAAUAAAUAAACUGGCUUUUGAAGAGAUUAUUUCGGUCUUCAUAAAAUCAAUCGAUCUACUUAGUCCUUAAUGGUACGCAUACACAUGGUUCAUGCUUGAUGAAUGGACAUCAGUUUAAAAUCCUAAUGGCAAUUACUGAAUAAAGAAUCUACACAACAAGGACUAAUUACAUUUGAAAAAACAAAUUAUUAUUAUUUUUUAUAGUAGGAUGCUUAGUUGAUUAUUUGUUGGAACUCAUUUGUCAAUAGUGCAAACCUUUUUUGUCCACAACUCCUUUAUAGCAAAAGUUAGUUAAGAAAUCGAUGGCUUUAAUACAUAAUCCAACCAAAUGAUCCGCUUUGGUAAAUUGAGACAACAAUCUUUAAAUAACUAAUGUUUAGGAUUAUUUUUCUGAAUAAUAUAUUAUCAUGUUACUGAAAUACUGUUCCUUCUUGAAAUCAACUAUGACUCAAUGGACAAUGUAUUUUCAGACACUAAACAAAAAGAACAAGUUUUUCACUCUUGACCAAAAAAAAUAAAAAGAAAAAAGGGAACAAAAGCAUGGAAACACCUUUUUGAUUAGUUUGUUAUUAGCUUGGUUUCUUGAAUUUGAAAAGCAAAUACUCCUUCCGUCCCAAUAUUAGAGUUUUUUUUGAGAAUUCAAUUUUUUGCGGAGACAUGGUAAUCAUUAUGUCUAGAUAAGAUAGCAUUGAUGUAUUUAUAUAUAUAUAUCUUUUGAAUUCAAAAUAUUCUCUUGAUAGAUAUAUAUUGGGAUUUUAAAAAGCGACUUUUUCAAAUGGCAAUAUUGAAAAACAUAUGUUAAAUUUGAAAUGAUAAUUAUUAUUUUGGAACAUCAAUAAAGUGAAAAUAUGACAAUAACAGUGGAAUGGAUGAAGUACAAAAGCACAUGAAAGAUGGAAGCAAUUUUAGUGAAUAGACACAUAAAAUAAUCACUAAAAUUAUGCUAGAAUCUUAAGAUCCUAUAUCACCAAGACACCAAACACAGACCCACUUUGAGGUUUACAAACUAAUGUACUUACUAAUAAUCCUACUAAUUAUGCUAGAAUCAAAUAAAUAUAAUGAUCAUUAAGGCUCUUAGAAUCUUCCCUACUGUUAGGUACGGGAUCAAAUCUUGUGUACCUGACAGUUAGGGGUGAAAAAGUGUAGGAGGGGAUAGGGGGGUAAAAAAAUUUAUUUAUGGUAACAUUCUUUUCGUCACAUCAGGAAAUAAUGAAAUUCCUAAUUCACCCUUGGCGAUGACGCAAAAUUCACAUAAAGUCGUGGUUAUACCACGGGAUUCUCACAGCAGAGGACUAGGACAAAAGUGGACACCCGUGGUUCUGAUUUUCUACGAGUUUUUGAGUGAAAAGGUCACGUGUACAUGAUGAUGCCUCUGUUUGCACCUGGCAUGUGAGAACGGGACCCUCCCAUUUUUAUGAAUGUUUGUGAAUUUUUUGUCCUUUCGAUGUUGAUUUGUUUUUCUUGGAGUUAUGUACUUGAUUACUUGGAUAGCUUUUGAACACGAAAAAUAAUUUUUUUUAACAGAAAAACAGUGGAAUUUAAGAAAUAAAAAGAGGAAAAAAGGCUUAAUUUGUAUUCAGAAACUCUAAUUUCAGAAGUACUUUUUGUUUGGCUUAAACUUAAAAAAAAAUAUCAAGCUAAAUUUGUCUUAAUACUUAGAAAUGUUUUCACUAGAAAGUGAUGGAAAAUUAAUUAGUACAAAGAGAAUUAAACAUUUACUCCAGCAUGGGAAAACAACAACUCGUCGUUAAUGAUCGAAUUCUUUGACUAUGGAAUAACAAUUAUAUCUUCUUCAUAAAUACCCAUCACUUGUCGAAUUUCAUAAUUCAUACAUUUAAUAUUUAUACUUAUUGAUAUUUGUUAAAAUAGUUUAGUUGGACUCCAAAACUGCAGUGAUGUUAGAACAGCAAAAGGAAUAACUAAAUAAGCUUGAUGUGUGAUUUAAUCUUGGUAGAGGUUUUUGUUUUAAUAGGUAAAAAGGCACCAUAUGCACCCGUGAGUGCAUAUAAAAGGAUAAAAUAUUACUCAUGCAAAUGUAAUAAUUGAAAACAGGGAAUACACUUUACACCUUAAAGUUUCCUUUACUUAUCUCAGACUAUGCAUUUCUUUACUAAUCUCAUAUAAUUCAAUUUGUUAGUGAACAAAAAAAAAAAAAAAUUGUUAUGAGUCACAAGUAAUCACCUUUAAAAAAAUAUUAUAUUGCACAAACUUUUUUUUUUCUAAUACGCAUUCUGGUAAUUAAAUGCAGUAAGCUCAAAUUAAUUUGUUAUAGCCUGAUAAGUUUACUUGAUAAAUUCUUUUAAAUCAUAUUUUUACAAAAAAAAUAAUAAGAAAAGAAAUAAGGACUUUGGAGUCCAUAGCUGACAACUAAAUGCAGUACCUUAUGUUAGGAUCAUCAGUGCCCUCAUGUGAUCUGAUCUGUCAUUCAUAAUCUGUGUGUAUAAAAGUCAAGCUUGGUGAUGUAACAGGAUAUUUGUGAAUGCCCAUAUUUAUGAUACUUAGAUUUUGUGGUGAAUCUCCUUGAUAAACUAAGACAAAUAUGAUGGAUGAUCGGUCAGGAUUUGAGUUGAGCUUAAGCACAUAAUAACCUACAAGUUUAAACCUAAUAUGUGUUGAAGUAUCAUUAGAUUAAACCUACCAAUAGAUUAACUUGUGGUUUACAAAAGUUUUGCAUGCUUAUCAAAUGUAAAUUGGUUACAGCUCUUUACGCUUGAGAAAAAUUAAUGAACUCCAUUACUUUUUUUGAUCCAAGAUUGUUUAAAUUUUUUAAAUAUGAUAGAUGAAACUUAAAAAUUAAACUCAAGAUUUGUCUAAUUGGUGUCCAUAUAUUAUGUGUUAAAAGGAGUUUGAAGUGUUAGACCUUGCUGGGAGAAAGUUAAUUUGGGUGGCAAAGGAGGAGGGAUUAUAAGUAGAAAGUCAGAUUUACCAAAAAAAAAGUUCGACUCUAUCUGAUACAAGCAUUAAGACUUGUUUAAUAACUCAAUUCAGUAUUAAAUUUGAUAGUUACUAUGUUAAAAUGCGUUUGAUAAGAGGUUCUGAAUUGCCUAGACCAAACUUAUUCAAUAUAUAUAUAUAUGUAUAUGUAAUAAGAUAGUCAUUAUCACUUAAUGCAAAAUAUACUCAAAUGUUAAGAUUUUAUAGUAAUAGUUCAAUAAUUUAAUAGAUUCAGAUUUCAGCUUUUAAAUUUUAAAUUUCAAUUUUCAGUUUUAUCAGAUGUACCCUUAAUUUUUUAAAAAAAAUUAAAUAAAAUGAUUCUAAAUAUAAAGGGUAAUAAAUGUGCAAAUAUGCGUAUACAAAUUGUAAGUUAAUAAGUGCAAACCGAAUGCCUUAUUGGGCGUGUUAUAGAAUUUUUCAACAUCUCAAUCAUAGAUUUUGAUAUUGUUGUCCACAAGAAGUUAAUAGGAGGAGUGAGGAUAACAUUUUGAGGAGCCACGUGCGCUCGGUUUCAUGGAGCAUCUAUCGUCGGUGACUUGCUAGAGAAAGAACAUCGUAGGAAGUUUCUUGAGCGAGUACUUUGUCGAACAGAAUUACUUGCAAUCAAUUGCCUGACCCAAAACCCUUUGCUGUCCCACUGAUGUGCUUGGAAUCAAUCAAUUAUUCGUCCUGCGCUCCCUCCCUCGUCCAAACCCGUCCCCGCCCUCCUCCCCGUUCCACUUCCCCUUUUCUGUAAGAAUGACCGCGUCCAAUAAAAUAUAGGCAUAAAAAAAAUUUCGUGGAUUAAUUCCCAAGAUGAACUCUUAGAGCUUGUAAUUUUAAGUUUGCACUAAAAAUAUAUAUAUAGAGUAACUUUUAUGUAAAUUGUUACUGUGUAUUCUAUCACGAUUGGAUGUAUGACACAUGAAUAAAUUUUAAAUUUCAAAUUCAAAUUUUGCAUAUGUAUCAUAUAUCUAAUGGUGAUAGUGUAUAUACUAACAGUGUAUACAAAAUUAAUCCAUAUAUGUAUAUAAUAUAUACAUAUAUGAAUUACUAUUUUAUAUACUGACAUUGUAUACACUUUCACCAUUAGAUGUAUGACACAUAAUUUAAAUUUAAAUUUAAAACCCAAAUGUUACAUAUAUGUCAUACAUCAAACCGGCCCCCACGGGGUAGCUCGGACGGUGCGCUCCCCCUCUUUAGGGUAUGACCACUUACCUGGCAACCAGGGUUCGAGUCUCGUGGCUUACGUCUUCGGUGUGGAGUGGGGCCUCCUCUCCCGGAGCGCAGGGGGAUUAGUCGGGUCCCGUAAGGAUUGACCCGGACACCCCCUGUGUCGACAAAAAAAAAAAAAAAAAAAAUCAUACAUCAAACCGUGAUAAUAUAUACACUGUCAAUAUAUAUAAGAUUUAUUCUUUAUAUAUAAAUAUAUAUAGGCAAAAUGUAAAUGAAUUAAUACGCCGACAUAUAUACGUGACAAUGACUCCAUUAGCGCCAUUAGUAAUACAUAAAUUCUCCAUACUGUUCUGUGAUAACCAUGUGAUUUUGUGUGAAUUAUGUCGAUUUCACCGACACUUUUAGUAAUUGGGCCAAGUUUGCAUAUAUUUGGGACUUUAAGGUGAAAAUUUUAAAUUGUAACCCUUAGACUUUAGAGUGCAAAGAGAGAAUAUCAAAAGUUAGGAGGGGCAAUAUUUGCCUGGCCUUGUAGUUUAGAUUUCAGGCUCUUUGAACUUGGUUAAAAGACAAAUCAAGUUACUCAAUAUUCAAUCGAGUUCUUUAAAGUUUAGCUCACUAAGUAAUUAAGCUAAAUAUGAACGAGAUUUAGCCUUUCUUAGAAUUUCAAAUUUAAUAAACACAGUGGCAAUAUGUAAAACAUCUCAAAUUUCAAAUUCUUUGAGUUCAACUUCACCAAAAUUUCUCAAAUUGAAAUAAAAAAUUUAAAUUAUUGAAGCUCAAUUUAACUUCAACUCAAUAAAAGUUUAUUCUAGUUUGGCUUUAAAAAAAUUCAAAAACCUAAUUUGCAACACAACUUCAAACUUAUUAAAGUAAAUAAACAAACUUAGACAGUUUAUUGUUCGUGCUCAUUAGAUCAUUUACGCUACUAUCUUUGGACUUGACACAUUACUUAUUAGAAGAUCUUUAUCCAAAUAAUUUUUGCUCUUUUUUUAAAAAAAUUAUUUGAGGUUGGAAUGCAUAAGAUAAUCCAAAAAAAAAAAAGUAAUUCAACAAGUUUGCUGUUUUCCAACCAGAAAAAAAAUUCUGCUCAGUCAUUUAAUUCAUUCUUACCUAAAACAAAGGGGCAGAAAAAAAACCUUCAAAACUAUACCAUAGUUGUGGGUAUUAAAAUCACAUCGGGGCAUAUUUUGAUGAUUUCUUUUUUUUUUUUUUGUUUCUUUUAACUUCUUUAGAGGCGGCCAAGGCCCAUCUAUUGUUUUUGUAACUUGCUGCUGACUAAGGCCCAUCAAGUCUGACAACCUUUUCUAUUAUUGGAUUUGGUCAAACAUAUAUGCUUGCAUGUAAUCUGUUGCAGCAGAACCAGUUACAUGAUUCAUUGGGAAUUCGGAAUGUCAUGGUAUUCUGGACUUGGAUGGUUUGAACAUGUUGGAGAAUAACACAAGAAGCCCAUUUGUAAAAUCAAUGAGGAGCUCCAAAGAAAGUACCUUCUUGACUUACCCAAACGAAAAGAUUUCGGCUCCAUACAGGGCUAUAUUUGGAAAACUAUAGUGUAGCUGUUUUUAAAAAAUAGAUGAUGUUGUUUGGAUUGUUGUAUAUGAAAAAUUAAGGGUGCGUUUGAUAAAAUUGAAGUCUGAAAUUUGAAUCCAUUAAAUUAUUGAAUUAUUAAAUAUUAAAUUUAAUAUAUUUGAGUGCAUAUCACAUUCAGUAAUAAAUGAAUAACUUAUCAUUUAAUUUUGAGAGCAAGUUUUAUCUAAAAAAUUUAGUGUCACUUAAUUAAUUUAAAUGUUCAAUUUUUAGUUAUCAAACGGUUUGAAUAUGUUAAAGUUUGAAUAUAUUAAAUUUAAGUACUACGCUGGAUUAUUAAACAAGCCUUAAAGCUCCAUAUGUUUGCAAUUAUUUUGGAAUACUGUUUUUGUCUUUUAAAAACAGAGUUUUUGGCUAAAAUAAUCUACAAUACAGUAUUCCAAAAUAAUUGCCAACAUCAUAUUCAUGUACCUUUGAUCUUAAAUCUACUAUAAAUAGGGGUGAAUCCUACUUCAUUUGUAACCUGGAAGAACUUUGAUCGGUGAAUAUAAUAAUACUAUAGUCCUUUUUUCUCUCUCCCCGCGUCUCAGUCUACUAUUCCAAUCCCUACAUUAGUAAUUUAUAUUAUUAGUUUCACAAUACGUUAUCAACACGAGUUUCUACUUUGAGAAGGAAAAGCGCGAAUAUCUAAUUUUUGAGCAAAAGUGAAGCAUGAGACGCUGUCAAGGUUCUGACCAAACAGCUUUUGACUACUUAUUAAGAAGAAAUGAAUGCCAAACAUUUGGGACUAUAUAAUGGUGAUGAUAACAUUUGUCUCAUUGAUAGUGCUAUUACGCACACUAUAUUGAAAAAUAAAAGAUAUUUUUCUUCUUUGGAGAUGGGAGAGCCAAAUGUUAAUAUUAUCAGUGGUAGUGCAAAAUUAAUUGAGAGCUCAGGAAGAGCCACUCUAUUUCUCCCUAAAUGAACAAAAAUUGUAAUAAAUAAUGCACUACUCUCUCCCAAGUCUCGAAGAAAUUUAUUGAGUUUUAGAGAUAUCCGCCAAAAUGGAUAUCACAUUGAGACAAUGAAUGAGACAAAUGAUGAAUUUUUAUUAAUUACAAAUACCAUUUCUGGGGAAAAAUGUGUAUUAGAAAAAUUACCUUCACUUUCUUCUGACUUAUAUUAUGCACAAAUAAGUGCUGUUGAAAUUCAUCACCUAGCAAACCAGAAGUUUACUCAUCCCAAUGAUUUUAUGAUUUGGCAUGAUCGUCUCGGACAUCCUGGAUCUAUAAUAAUGAGACAAAUAAUUGAGAAUUCACAUGGCCACUCAUUGAGAAAUCAAAAGGUAUUAAAAUCAAAUGAAUUCUCCUAUGUUUUUUGUUCUCAAAGAAAAUUAACUGUUAGACCAUCACCGGGUAAAGUUGGGACUAAAUCUCUCACAUUUCUAGAACGAAUUCAUGGUGAUAUAUGUGGACCUGUAAAUCCCCCAUGUGGACCAUUUCGAUAUUUUAUGGUGCUAAUUGAUGUAUCAACUAAAUGGUCACAUGUAUGUUUGUUAUCUACUCGCAAUCUAUCGUUUGCGAGAUUACUUGCUCAAAUAAUUAAAUUACGAGCACAGUUUCAUGAUUAUUCAAUUAAAAGAAUUCGUCUAGAUAAUGCUGGUGAAUAUUCGUCACAUGCUUUUGACGAGUAUUGCAUGUCCAUUGGAAUAAUUGUUGAACAUCCUAUAGCCUAUGUUCACACAAAAAAUAGUCUAACCGAGUCAUUUAUUAAAAGGCUACAACUAAUUGCUAGACCAUUGUUGAUGAGAUCUAAACUUCCUUUAUCUGAUUGGAGACAUGUUAUAUUACAUGCAGCAACACUUGUGAGAAUUAAGCCGACUAGUUAUCAUAAUUAUUCUCCCCUACAAUUAGUAUUUAGUUCUGAACCCAAUAUUUCUCAUUUACGAAUAUUUGGUUGUGCGGUUUAUGUUCCUAUUGCACCACUCCAAUGUCGUAAAUUGGGCCCUCAAAGAAAAUUGAGAAUAUAUGUCGGGUAUGAAUCACCUUCUAUAGUUAAGUUUAUUGAGCCAUUGACAGGUGAUUUAUUUACUGUAAGAUUUGUAGAUUGUCAUUUGAUGAAUCACAUUUCCUGACAUUAGGGGGAGGAAAAGAUCAACCGAAAAAGAAAAUCCCGAUAAAGGAAAUCAUUUGAAAAAUUUCAUUGGAUUUCCUGGAUCCUUGUACCAAAGAAUGUGAAUUAGAAGUUCAAAGGAUCAUACAUUUGCAAAAUAUUGCAAAUCGAUUGCCGGAUGCAUUUAAUGACUCCAAAAGAGUCAUCAAAUCACAUAAUCCUGCUGAAAAUGCUCCGAUUAAAAUAAAUGUCCCUGAAGGACAAAUCACAAGUGCUAAUGAAUCUAUAGUACGCCUGAACCAUGGGAGACCUCUUGGUUCCAAAGAUAAAAAUUUUAGAAAAAAAAGAGGAUCAAAUGAAUCAAUAAUUAGUGACAAAAUUCAACCUCCUGAAGAGGUAACUUCCGAAGAGCCAACUCUUGAAGAGAAUGAAAUUAUAGAAAAUUCAAUAAAGUUUGUCACUACAAAAAAAAGUUGGUAUCGAAGAGAAAUAAUUGUUGAUAGUACUUCUGCAUAUAAUGUAGCACUUGAUAUUAUGAUAGAUGACGAGAAUCAUGAGCGUAGAUCGGUUGAUGAAUGUCGGCAUAUAAAUGAUUGGCUAAAAUGGAAAGAUGCAAUACAAUCUGAAUUAGAUUCACUGAUUAAAAGAAAAGUUUUUGGACAUGUAGUCCAAACACCUGAAGAUGUAAAGCCUAUUGGAUAUAAAUGGGUGUUUGUGAGGAAAAGGAAUGAAAAGAAUGAAAUUGUGAGAUAUAAAGCAAGACUUGUAGCCCAAGGUUUUUCACAAAAGUCUGGAUUUGAUUAUGAUGAAACGUAUUCACCUGUAGUGGAUACGAUCACAUUUAGGUAUCUUGUGAGUUUUGCAAUGCAUGAAAAACUAGAUAUGCAUCUGAUGGACGUUGUCAUUGCUUAUUUGUAUGAAAAUCUUGAAAAUGAUAUUUACAUGAGAAUCCCUGAAGGAUUCAACAUACCUAAAGCAUGUAAAUCAAAUCCUAGAGAUAUGUAUUUUAUUAAAUUAUAAAGGUCUUUGUCUGGGUUUAACCAAUCUGGACGUAUGUGGUAUAACCGCCUUAAUGAAUGAUUAACUAAAGAAGGUUAUACCAAUGACCCAAUAUGUCCAUGUGUUUUUAUCAAGAAAAAUAGGUCAAAUUUUAUGAUAAUUGUUAUAUAUGUUGAUGAUCUCAAUUUGAUUGGAACUCCUGAAAAGAUCCAAAAGGCUGUCGAAUAUUUGAAGAAUGAAUUUGAGAUCAAAAAUUUUGAAAAGACAAAAUUCUACAUUGGUUUACAAAUUGAGCAUUUAGAAGGUGAAAUUUGUGUCCACCAAACUGCUUAUACCCAAAAGGUAUUAAAACCGUUCUGUAUGGAUAAAGUACAUACAUUAAAUACCCCAAUGGUCGUCAGAUCACUAGAUCCUAAUAACGAUCCAUUUAGGUCACGAGAGAAACAUGAAGAGAUACUUGGUCCUAAAGUACUAUAUCUCAAUGCAAUUGGUGCGCUAAUAUAUCUUGCUAAUUGUACAAGACCAGAUAUAUCAUUUGUUGUUAAUAUAUUAGCAAGAUUUAGUUCCUCGCCUACAAGAAGACAUUGGAAUGGUAUUAAACACAUUUUUCGCUAGUUCCAAGGAACAAUUGAUCUUGGUUUGUUUUAUUCAAAUAAAUCCAAACCUAAGUUGCUUGGAUAUGCUGAUACUGGGUAUUUAUCUGACCCACAUAAAGCAUGACCUCAGACUGGCUAUCUCUUUACUUGUGACGGUACAGCCAUUUCUUGGCGUUCUACAACACAAUCCUUAACUGCCACUUCAUCAAAUCAUGCUGAAAUAAUAGCAAUUCAUGAAGCCAGUCGAGAAUGCGUUUGGUUAAGAUCAAUGACCCACUACAUCCGGAAGAGUUGUGGGUUAUCCUCCUAGAAGGAAAAUCCUCCAACAAUUUUAUAUGAAGAUAAUACAGUUUGUAUAGCUCAAUUAAAAGGAGGAUAUAUUCAAGGAGAUAGGACGAAACAAAUUUCACCGAAUUUCUUAUUUACUCAUGAUUUGCAGAAGAAUUGUGAGAUUGACGUGCUACUAAUCCGAUCAGAUAAUAAUUUCGCAGAUUUUUUACCAAGGCACUGCCGACUGCUACAUUUGAGAAACUAGUGAAGAAUAUUGGAAUGCGUUGGCUAAAAGAUCUCAAAUAAUGUUUGCAUCAAGGGGAGAUAUUAUUACACAAGAAUACUGUAUUCUUUUUCCUUCACUAGGGUUUUUAUCCCACUGGAUUUUUCCCUAGUAAAGUUUUAACGAGGCAUAUUCUUUGUGUAAUGGACAUCCAAAGGGGAGUGUUAUGAAAUAAUUAUAAGAUGUGGAUGUCCGUUUAUAUUCUCAAGAACGAAGAUACAUGUAUUCUCUCUAGGUUCAUUGGUACAUUGGAUGAACCCAUUUAUGGAUGUACUUAAGGUACUAAAUUAAUGUAUUAGUAUUUAAUUGGGUUCAUGUACCUUUGAUCUUGGAUCUACUAUAAAUAGGGGUGAAUCCUAUUUCAUUUGUAACCUGGAAGAACUUUGAUCAGUAAAUAUUAUAAUACUAUAGUUCUUUAUUCUCUCUCCUCGCUUCGCACUUUACUAUUCCAAUCCAUACGUUAGUAAUUUAUAUUAUUAGUUUCACAAUAAAUAAUGUUGUAGUCUUCACAACUAUGUAAAAGUUGUAAGAAAAUUAAACCAAGUUCAUGUAUUAUAUAAGUGACACGUGUCUUAUUUCUAUUUAUUAAGAUAAGUUUCAUUGUUUGUUUUGUGAUUGUGGUCACAUGGGAUUAAAUACUAUGACUAGUUCCUUCAAAAAAAAAAAGCUAUGAUGUUAUGAAACUAAUGCUAAUAUGAUAUAGGAUUUGAGUUAUUUAUAUGGUUGGCAAUAUGCUAAGAAAUACAAGAAAAUUAAAGAACUCAAGAGAAGAGAAAAGUAAGAAAAGAACUAUUUUUUCAUUUACUCAAAUGAAACUUCAGUUUUCUAUACAAUAGAGGAUUAACCAUUAUUUAUGGGGGGAAAGUACAACAGUUAACUUCUUCUUCUUCAAGAUGGUGAUACAAUCUUCUUAUAAGACAUGAUAGCUUUAUCGACAGUCGUGCAGCUUUAUCGAAAAUUGUAAUAGCCUUAUUAAAAGUCAUGUCACCUCUAUCAUUUCAAAAGUUAUGAGAGCUUUUUCACUUCGAAAAAUGUGAAAGACUUGUCACUAUUUAGGAGAUGAGAUAAACGUGAUAGAUAUCCACAAUAUUUAAUUAUUUCAUAACAUAUGACUAGUAAUAGUAACACUCACAGACCUGGGCAGACAAAUCCACAUGGGCUUUAUGAAGUUAGUGGCCUCUAUUUCAAAAAUCCAACUUAUAGUUAGUAGGUACAUUAGUCAAGUGAUUAUGCGGUUCUUAAUUUGAAUUUUAAAUCCUUCAUUUUCUUUGCCUUUAAGAUUUGAAGUCUUCCUCUCAAUUUAAAAAAAAAAAAAUCAGCAGCUUCUGUCAGUUUCAUUUAUUUUUGUACAUCACAAUAGAUGCAGCACUCUUUGGAUCUAUCAGUAGAUGCAGAGUACAAUAGUUUAAUAAGUGACUAUCACACUUUCUUUCAAUAUUUGACACAAAGACCAGGUACAGAGAAAUCAUUUACGUUAUGAAUUAAUUUUAUAUACAUGAAUAGUAUAUAUAUUUCACCCUUAAAUAUAUGUCACUUAAUUUGAAUUUGAAUUUAAAUAUCACUUUUUGUAUAUAUGAAAUGUAUCAAAGGAUGAUAAUCUAUGCACUAUAUACACAAGAUAAACUAGUUUGUUAUAAGUAACUCAAAGUCAUAGUAUUUCCGGAUAGUUCAAUAAAUUGUGGACUAUAUGGUAAAUUCAAUCCAACUUAAAUAUUUCAUUUGCUACUCAAGCACAAUUGCAACCUUAGUAAUAAAUUGAGAAAUUGAAAAAGUAUUCUUAACAAAACAAUUUCUUUUUCUUUUUCUUUUUUUUUUUUUGCAACCAAAGGGCUCCUUUUGGAUUUCUCAUUUUUUGAAAAACAAAUUUUUUAUAUACAAUAUUACAGUAACAUACAAACAAAAACAACUCAAAAAACACUAUAUCCAUACAAUAUAUCAAAAAUAAUUUCAAGUAUAUAAAAAAAAUUUUACAUUAUUUUCUUUUUCCAUCUAUCAUCACCACCUACCACCACUGCCGCCACCAUCCCCUCUUUCUCCUCUUUCCUCCCCCUCCUUCUUUCCCCUCCCUCUCUCUUCCUCCUCCCUUCCCCUUCCCCUCCCCUUUCCCACCACACCCCACCCCUCUCCUUCCCCCACAAAUCUGGCCUCGACCAGAGGUUGCGAUCUAGUCGGGAUGUCGUGACCAGAGGCCUUGGUUGGUUUUCAGCUAGAUGGGAGGGGGGGAAGGGUAGGGAUGAGGUGUGGCGGAAAAAGGGAGGAGGGGAGAAAAGAAAGGGAGAAGAAGGAUGGGAAGAGAAGGAAGAAAGAGAGGGCGGAGAAAGGAUGGGGUGGCAGUGGUGGUGGUGGCGGUGGUAAUUUUAAAAAAUAUCACGAAAAUUUUAAACUUUAAAAAUAUCUUAAAAUAUAUCCAAAAAAUACCUCAAAUAACAUCACGAAAAACAUCUACAAUAAAAAAAUUUUCAUAUACAUUGCUAAAGUAAGGCUCUGUUUGGAUUCUCCAUUUUUUGAACAACAAGUUUUUCAUAUAUAAUGCUAUAGUAAUACACAAACAAAAACAAAUAAAAAAAAAUCACAUCCACACAAUAUAUUAAAAACAGCUCCAAAUAUACAAAAAAAUUAAAAAAUUAAAUAUACACCAUUUUCUUUUUCCCAUCUAUCACUCCCAUCCACUAUCACCGCUGUCCACCACCACUGCCACCACUCCCUCCUUCCUCCUGUCUCUUCUCCCUCCCUCUUUUUCCUCCUCUCUUCCUUCUCCUCCUCCCCUUCCCAUUUCCCGCCACAACUUUGUUCCUCUCCGAGAUUCUCCCCCCGCGACACCUUGGGAAGGGGGAGGAGGGGAGAGGCAAGGUUGUGGUGGAAAAGGGAAGGGGAAAGGAGGAAGGAGGAGAAGGAAGAAGGAGGAUGAAGGAAGAAGAAUGGGGGGGAGGAGGAAGGAAAGGGAGGGGGAAGAGAGAGGAGGAGGGAGUGGGUGGCGACGGUGAUGGGUAGCGGUGGUGAGUGGUAGUAUUAAUUUUUAAAAAAAUAUACUAAAAAGUUUUUAAACUUUAAAAAUACCCCAAAAUAUAUUUCAAAAAUACCUUUAAAAACACCACAAAAAAAUCUACAAUAAAAGUUUUUCAUAUAUAUUACUACAGUAAAAUAUUUUAAAAACACCUCUAAAAACAACCAAUUCAAACGAAGCCAUUGUUUGUUAAAGGAUAUCUAGCAUCCUACUUACUCUAGUAUGUAAUUUCUGAUGGAAUAAAAGGACUUGAUUAAAUUAAGCAUUUAAAACAUAUUUUUAGUAUAUUCAUAAAAAAAGGAUUGGAGGUUGGAAGCAAUUUUCAUAUUAAGUAUACAUUUUUUGAGCUAUAUUCCAUAUACUAAGAAGCAUACACAAGUCAAUUAACAGUGCGUUUGAUAAAAUUAAAGUUUGAAAAUUGAAAUUUAAAAUCUAAAGUUUGAAGUUUGAAUUCAUUAAGUUAUUAAAUAGUUAACUAUUAAAUUUGAUACAUUUGAGGGUAUGUCAUAUUAAGUGGAUAAGUGAAUAGGCUAUCACUUAUUUUUUGAACCAAGUUUUACUUAGAAAUUUUAGUAUCACUUAAUUAAUUCAAAUGUUCUAUUUUUGGUUAUCAAAUGCAACUAAACAUUUUAAGAUCUAAAUUCAUUAAGUUUAAGUGCUAAAUUGAGUUAUAAAAUAGGUAAUCUUUUUCCUUUCAUUUAUUUUCCAUCUUCAAUCCAAACAAAAAUUCAGUAUUUCCUUAAUUUUCCUUCCAUGUUUAAUCCAAACAAAAUGGGUAGAAACCAUAGUUAUUAAACCCGGGGAGGAACCCGGUGAAAGAGGUGGGUGAACGGUUUACUGGUUCAACCAAUGAGUGAAUGAUUCAACCGGUGGGUCAUUAAAUAUAUUUAAAUAUUAUGUCUCAUAAUUUUUUAUGCCAUAAUAAAUAUUUGGUUAGUCUAAUUUAUCAUAGAAUCAUUAAUUGUUAUAAGAAUUAACAACCUAAAUUUAAUUAGUAAUCCACCAAAUUUCAAGUAUAAAAUUUUAUCUAAGUGUAAUUAUCUAGUUUAUUUAUGAACUUUAAGUGUAAAAGUUUAUUAAGAAUGAUAUUUGCCUUUAAAAUAAAUUGUGUAAUAUGUUUUUUUUUUUAAGUCAAUUUCAUAAUUUAUAGAGUUUGGGGAAUAAUAAAAUGUUAUUAAAAGAUUCCAAAUAAAUUUUGUUUUGGAGAAAUAAAAUAAGAAUUAAAGUUUAAUAUAUAAUAUAAGAAGGACAAAAUAAUCAACAAAUGGGUGGUUAGCCCAGCGGUGAUUGUAUUUUACUUUUGUGCAUGAGGUCCCGUAUUCGAAUUUUCAUUUUAACAUCUUCACAAAAUUUUUCCCUUGACAACAUGUAGACCGAGUUCCUCAUAAAACUGGCCAAUUCACCGGAUUGACCAGUUGAACCGCCAGUCCGUUAAAAAGUUAAAGGUUUCAAUACAUAAACGAUCUAAUUGACAACUCGAUCCGGCUCAAUUGCCGGUUCAUUGGGUUGACCGAUUGAAUAGUCGGGCCGGGCCGAGUUUAAUAACAAUGGUAGAAACAACUUUCAUCUAAAGCUCUACUCUCUUUCAACCCAAACCAUGCCUUAAAUACUCCAGCCCACAAGGAUUUGCCAUGUAAUUUUAGAAAUCUCGUUAUAUUGAUUUGUACACCCAAUCCAUCGCUCAAAAUUUAAAUAAAGAAGACAAAAUAGCUUUACAUUGUAAAAAACCAAUUUCAAAUUAUCCUAUCGGUAAAAUAUAUAUUUUUUUGUGUAGAAAUGCUAAUAUAAAAUUUCUUUUUUACGUAUAAUUCACUGUGAAGAUAAUCAAAUGCACAAGAAUUGAUCUAGUGUACAGGAGACAACAAGGUACCUUUGCUUGAAUUCUUUUUGCUGGAAAACCGCAAACUCUUGUAACCUAUUUGAUGAAAGAACUGAGGAAAAGAAAGGAAGCAUGGAGAAUUCACUAUUUUUUUUUAAAAUAUUUUUUGGUGGGUUACAUUAUUUUAUGUGCUGAGCGAUGAACAAGCCCCAUAAUUAUAGCGUGUGGAGUACGUGCCAAUGAGUUCUAUCUCUUCAAACUCUUUUAAUUGAGAACAUUGACUAUGAUGGAAUGGGUAACAUGUUUUCUAUUAUAUAAUGGGGUGUAACAUUCAUAUUACACACUUUAAUACGUUGACAUAUAUUCUUUUUAGAUUAUCAUAAUUAUACUCCUAAUUAAAUUAAACUCUUGGAAAGGACACAUGUCAAUAUAUCACAGCGCACGUUAAACAUUAAUAUGUAACAGAAGACCCAUGGCCGACAUUAAAUCUUUUUUUUGGGGGGGGGGGGGGGUUUGAGCACCAAUUGCAUAACUUGUCUCCUUGACUUCAUGCAAAAUAGAUGGUGUAUCCAAUUUUGUUCUUUUAAUCUAUGGAACACUUAGCAAACUAGUUUUUAACAUCGAACAACAAAGAUAUUUAAAUCUAGCUUUCCAAUCAUCAGAGACAAAUGUGACACUUAUUUUUUUUCUUGAUUCUUCUUCAAUUUUGUUUCCCUAUAAUAAGUUUUUCAAAAAUUAGUUUGGAUCCUUCUAUUUUUCAAAAAUUAGUUUUUCAAAUAUUAUAAAAAAUUUUAAAAAGUAUUCUAAAAGGUACUAUAAAAAGUAGUCUAAAUUUUUUUUAAUGUUUAAAAAAUAUCCCAAAAUAUAUUUUAAAAACUCUACUACUCUUAAAUAUUUCAAAAUAUUUUCUAAAAAUAUCCCAAAAUAUACUCUAAAAACUCUGCUACAGUAAAAAAUUUUAAAAAUAUCCUAAAAAACAGUUAAUCCAAACGGAGCCCGAGCUUUCGUCAAUAACCAGAUCCAAGCAGUAGAAAAAGCCUGUUUGAUUUUAAUAAUAAGAGCUUUCAUCAACCACCAAACCAAAGCAACAAAGAAACCCUGUUUGGAUUGAUCCAUAAGAGUCACGCGAACAAGAACCUUCCCAAUCACAUUCAUUAGAAGCACUUAAAAGGGUUGCAUAUUAUUUACACCUCAUUUGCACAUAUUGACUUCCUUGCAUAAUCAACACAUUUUUUAACCAUUUUUUUAUCUCACGUAUGUAUGUUACAAAAAUUAUCUCAAAAAUCUCCUAUCCAAACACACAUAGAUGUGCUAGUUCUAUGUUCUCAUAUAUUGCUUAAACGUAGAUACAUAUACAUAUUAUGGUCCCACCUUUUCUACUGCCUAUAAUGUAUAUACUAGAGGACCUCCAAGAUCAAAAGUAUUACAAAUCAGUGGCAGAUUGAAGACCAUACAAGUACGAGGGCAGUAAUCACUUCGCUCAAUAAUAUGUAGCUUCAAUUUUUAUUAUUAUCAUACAAAAGAAAAAUUAGACAAAGGUUAUAUUAAUUUGAUUGUGCUUUAUUUCAAAAUUCUUCAAUUUCUUUUUUGUUAAAGUUGCAAUUUUUACUUUUGAAAAAAAGCAUAAUGAAACUUUUUUAAAAAAUAUUUUUUGAGGGGGGCCAAAUGAAAGUAAGAGGAAAUUUUACAAAACUUGGGAGGUGCAAAUGUGGGAUAAAUUGGAAAAUCUUAGAAACUUGUAAGUCUAAUUUUUUAGUUUUGAAGGCUGUUUUUCCCUUUUGGGGUGGGGUAGGGGAAGGCAAUCGCCCACAUUCACAUACAUGUGGCUCCGCCAGUACCGUUUGGGACUAAUUUUUUUAAGUGGGCAAUGAGAUGAUUAAAGCUACAUGAAAGCAAAACAAAAAAUGAUAUGCAGAAAGGAAGACGAACGAAAAUGGAGCUAGGGGUGGAGCUAAACAUAAGCAAUGUAUCAUUUGUUGUCUAUGCGGGAUGACAAAUAUGUAAAACAUAACAAGAAGGUUCGUUCUGGUCAUCUCUUACACAUUUUGACAAACAUGUAGCAUGCAUCCCAGUCAUCUAAAAUUUACCCAUAAACAGAAUUCGUGCUUGUUCCCUAGGUUAAGGCUAUCAAAAUCACCAAUAUCCAACAGAAGCCAAAAAGGAGUAUUCCUAUCAAGAUUCCUCUUCUGGACUCGAACACGGUACAUGAAUAUUUGUCAGGGGGCAUCACAAUAUGAUUGGAGUUGACUCAGAACCCCACGUCAUUCUAGCAUUUCUACUUAGGAACCAUGUCAGUUCACCUGCAGUUAUCAGGUUUGUGUCUGCAAGAAAAUCUGACAUGAUGAUCAAAUGUUCACGGGCCAAGUGCCAAAAUGCAACAAAAAUCCAAUUUUCAUCGCAAUUUAAGUAUAGAAUCUUAAUUUUAGGAGUUCUUGAAUUACAAAACUGAAAGCAAAUAAAUGGUCACAUUCAAACGUACAUUACAGCAAGACUCAUCCAAGACUUCAAAAACAAGGCAACAAGAUGAAGAGGUGAAAACUUGACCUUUCAACAAAAGGAAAUACAUGACUCUAGAUUUGAUCCAGCUGAGUUACCUAGCACAAACAUAAUACCUUUGAUCACCUUGUUUCUCAGUACUAGAUUGGCCAAGAGACCUGUGGCCUUGUGUUCAUCACAGAUAAACUUUGCUCAAAGGAGUAUUUGAGUAAAGUCAAAAGGCACUGAAACAAAGCAAUGCAAAGAGCUUAUGC